UACGUAGGGUGCAAGCGUUAAUCGGAAUUACUGGGCGUAAAGCGUGCGCAGGCGGUUUUGUAAGUCUGUCGUGAAAUCCCCGGGCUCAACCUGGGAAUUGCGAUGGAGACUGCAAGGCUAGAAUCUGGCAGAGGGGGGUAGAAUUCCACGUGUGAGCAGUGAAAUGCGUAGAGAUGUGGAGGAACACCGAUGGCGAAGGCAGCCCCCUGGGCCUGCACUGACGCUCAUGCACGAAAGCGUGGGGAGCAAACAGG
rnacentral:rRNA from 1 species